rnacentral:snRNA from 1 species
AUGCUUGCUUCUGCAGCAUAUAUACUAAAACUGGAAUGAUACAGAGAAGAUUAGCAUAGCCCCUGUGCAAGGAUGACAUGCAAAUUCAUGAAGCAUUCCAUAUUUUU